rnacentral:rRNA from 1 species
AACGAACGCUGGCGGCAUGCCUAACACAUGCAAGUCGAACGAGACCUUCGGGUCUAGUGGCGCACGGGUGCGUAACGCGUGGGAACCUGCCCUUAGGUUCGGAAUAACUCCCCGAAAGGGGUGCUAAUACCGGAUAAUGUCUUCGGACCAAAGAUUUAUCGCCUUUGGAUGGGCCCGCGUUGGAUUAGCUAGUUGGUAGGGUAAAAGCCUACCAAGGCGACGAUCCAUAGCUGGUCUGAGAGGAUGAUCAGCAACACUGGGACUGAGACACGGCCCAGACUCCUACGGGAGGCAGCAGUGGGGAAUAUUGGACAAUGGGCGAAAGCCUGAUCCAGCAAUGCCGCGUGAGUGAUGAAGGCCUUAGGGUUGUAAAGCUCUUUUACCCGGGAUGAUAAUGACAGUACCGGGAGAAUAAGCACCGGCUAACUCCGUG